rnacentral:tRNA from 1 species
UCCAGGGUAGCCUAGUGGACAUGGCAUCUGCCCAGUAAACGGAACACUGUGGGUUCGAUUCCCAUCCAUGGAC